rnacentral:rRNA from 2 species
ACGGGAGGCAGCAGUAGGGAAUCUUCCACAAUGGACGCAAGUCUGAAGGAGCAACGCCGCGUGAGUGAAGAAGGCUUUCGGGUCGUAAAACUCUGUUGUUGGAGAAGAAUGGUCGGCAGAGUAACUGUUGUCGGCGUGACGGUAUCCAACCAGAAAGCCACGGCUAACUACGUGCCAGCAGCCGCGGUAAUACGUAGGUGGCAAGCGUUAUCCGGAUUUAUUGGGCGUAAAGCGAGCGCAGGCGGUUUUUUUAAGUCUGAUGUGAAAGCCCUCGGCUUAACCGAGGAAGUGCAUCGGAAACUGGGAAACUUGAGUGCAGAAGAGGACAGUGGAACUCCAUGUGUAGCGGUGAAAUGCGUAGAUAUAUGGAAGAACACCAGUGGCGAAGGCGGCUGUCUGGUCUGUAACUGACGCUGAGCUCGAAAGCAUGGGUAGCGAACAGGAUUAGAUACCCUGGUAGUCCAUGCCGUAAACGAUGAAUGCUAGGUGUUGGAGGGUUUCCGCCCUUCAGUGCCGCAGCUAACGCAUUAAGCAUUCCGCCUGGGGAGUACGACCGCAAGGUUGAAACUCAAAGGAAUUGACGGGGGCCCGCACAAGCGGUGGAGCAUGUGGUUUAAUUCGAAGCAACGCGAAGAACCUUACCAGGUCUUGACAUCUUUUGAUCACCUGAGAGAUCAGGUUUCCCCUUCGGGGGCAAAAUGACAGGUGGUGCAUGGUUGUCGUCAGCUCGUGUCGUGAGAUGUUGGGUUAAGUCCCGCAACGAGCGCAACCCUUAUGACUAGUUGCCAGCAUUUAGUUGGGCACUCUAGUAAGACUGCCGGUGACAAACCGGAGGAAGGUGGGGAUGACGUCAAAUCAUCAUGCCCCUUAUGACCUGGGCUACACACGUGCUACAAUGGAUGGUACAACGAGUUGCGAGACCGCGAGGUCAAGCUAAUCUCUUAAAGCCAUUCUCAGUUCGGACUGUAGGCUGCAACUCGCCUACACGAAGUCGGAAUCGCUAGUAAUCGCGGAUCAGCACGCCGCGGUGAAUACGUUCCCGGGCCUUGUACACACCGCCCGUCACACCAUGAGAGUUUGUAACAC